AGUCAUCAUCUCUAUAUAAUGAACCUCUGGCAACCACCAAGAAUUACAGGGCAUCGUUAUGUGAUGAUGGAUUGUAUAAACGGUACAGUAAUCAUCCUCCUUCAGAAGAUAGUUAUUAUUCUUCAAGAGCAAGUUCAUCACGAAGUAGUCCAGUG